GAACAGUAUGGAAACUUCUCAAAGAACUAAUAAUAGAACUAAUAUUUGAUUCUGCAACCCCACUACUUGGUAUCAGCUCAAAGGAAAAUAAAUUUUAUAUUACACAGAUGGCUGCUUUUAUGUUUAUUGUUGCGUUAUUCACAGUAGCACGUAUAUGGUACAAAACUUAGUGUCUAUUUAUUAUGAUUAGAUACAGAAAACAUGCUGUACAUGUAUAUGUGCAUAUAUAUAGACACACAUAUACACCCUCGCAAAUACACUAUAUAUAUUUGUGAAUAUAUAUGUACACACAUUACUACUCAAUAAUAAAAAAUGAAAUUAUGUAUUUUACACUAACAUGGAUGAAACUUUAGACCACCAUCUUAAAUUAAAUAACUCAGAAGAGUAAAGUUGAAUACCACAUGUUCUCACUUACGUAAGAACUAAACAAUAUGUACACACAAAUAUAGAGUGUGGAAUAAUAAAUAUUGGAGACUUGGAAGGUCUGGAGGGUGGGAGUGGUGUGUGGGAUGAGAAAAUACUUAAUGAGUACAACAUACACCAUCCAGAUGAUGACUCCCCUUAAAGCCCUGACUUCAUCACUAAACAAUAUAUCCAUGUAACAAAAUUGCACUUUCACCCAUGAAUUUAUACAAAUACAAAGAUAAGUGGAUGCAUAUUCCAAGUUAUCAUUAACCCAUAUUAAAAUGUCUUACACAUACAGCAUUACAACUUCUUUAUUUGGAGUGUUUUUUUUUUUUUUCACUUACAGGAGAAAGGCAAUCUCAAUUCUCAGGGUGAACACACUUUGGAGAAGUUGUUGUGCGGUAGAGGAGGGCAGCUGUCCCAUCAGCGACAAGAGGCUUUGUGCCUCAAUGCUAACGAAUUAAGGUUUAUUCUUCCUCCUCCUUGUCCUCUGCAUGUGGUAAAUCUAGUUAAGAAAUCACGGAAGCUCCCUUAUCUGAUGUCAGUGUGAGGUUUAAAUUAGGCAAGCUCCUUCUCCUGAGUAGGAACACACCCCCUGACCCCACCACCAAAUCAUUAGAAAGCCCUGAGCCAGCCUCUUUUCCUGCUCUAAUGAGGAAAUUCCAGUUUGUAAUUUCUUAAGAAGCCUGUGCUGCUCUCAGCAGACACCCCAAAAAUAGUUAAUAAAACUUUUUAUAUUCACCUGGGGUGUGAGUGUGGAACCAUCAGACUGGACAUCCACACGAAUCAUUGGUGGGGUCUCUCUUCCUUUGCCAGGGAUCACCCACAAUUGGAACUGUGGGCUUGGAGUCCUGACAGUGACCACCACGCGGCCUUUCUUCUCUUGCACUGGAUGCGAACCCCCUCUGCCCCAAUGCCCAGCGUGCACGUUAUCCUGCCUCCUGCUGGCUGACUGGCCCUUGGAGUUCUGUUGAGCUGGGCUGCAAUGCUGAGUUAAACACAGUAUCUUUAUACAUUUAACUGAUUAACUUCAGAAGCACUGAUAGCUUAUUGAUGUUGAGAAACAGGAGUAAAUGACUGCAGGUGACUCUGCCUUUGGUGCAUGUGAGACAGUUUUUCUCUUGUUAUGACAAAUGCUUCUUCUUCAGAGACUUCAUAGCAAGAGCAGGAUAAAGAAUUCAGAGAAGUGCCCCAGAGGAAUCUGUUUUAUGGAGAGGAAGCCACAGGGCUGACAGGAAACCAGACCUUAACCCCCAUCUGCACCUGCCCUGAGGCUGGCUCUUGUGCUCAGUGGGUUCUGAGCGCCCCCACGUGGUUCUCCACUCACAUCAGGGAGGCUCGUUUCUGGGAUUAUACAGAUUUUCUUUCUAAUUGUUUUCACAAAAAUGGAGACAGAGUAAACAAUGAGUCCACGUAUUUCAGAGAACACAGAACAGCAUGAUAACACCCCUCGCCACACACACACACACACCUUUAG
rnacentral:lncRNA from 1 species